rnacentral:rRNA from 1 species
GGACUACCCGGGUAUCUAAUCCGGGUUGCUACCCACGCUUUCGUGCCUCAAUGUCAGUAACAGAAUAGUUAACUGCCUUCGCCGUUAUUGGAGUUCUUCCAUAUAUCUACACAUUUUACCGCUCCACAUGGAGUUCCGUUAACCUCUCCUGAACUCAAGCCUGACAGUAUUACCAGCUUCCACGAGGUUGGGCCUCGAUUUACCACUGCCAACUUAUCAGACCAUCUACGCACCCUUUACGCCCAAUAAUUCCGGAUAACGUUCGCCACCUACGUCUUACCGCGGCGGCUGGCAC